UCAAUUUCAAAAAGUAUUAUUCCAAAGAGUUCGAGCAAUGACGGCGCUUCCAAUAUAGAUUUGUCUUACGGAGUCCCAAGCUCUUCAGAUUACUCUGAAGGAUUUAGUGACUUUGGUGCGAGGGUAUCAGAAUAUAUAGGGUCAUCAAAGUCAUUGUCCCAGAAUUAUGGUGCGCCAAGUGCUUUGAAAACGAAUGCUGUGGCAUCAUCGUAUUCUUCAGUUAGAUCGCCCUCCUCGACUUACGGGGCACCUUCCACUCGUGAUGCAGCACCUUCCGAAGCAUACGGAGUCCCUGAACAGUACAAUGCUAGAUCCAGCCAGGGUUACGAGUAUGCAAGAGCUGGUGAUGAGGAUAAUCAGGAGCCGGCCAACUACGACUUCAACUACAAAGUGAAUGACUACAUCACGGGAAGCGAUUUUGGGCACAGCGAGACACGCCAAGACAACAGAGCUGAAGGGACCUAUUUUGUAGUCUUACCCGAUGGUACUAA